rfam:Trametes pubescens strain FBCC735 TRAPTBscaffold_1726, whole genome shotgun sequence.
GGCAAGGUGGCCGAGCGGUCCAAGGCGUGUGACUCAAGCGAAAGCUUGCCUGCUCAGCGGGUUUCUCAUCCGAGUAAUCGGGCAUGGGUUCGAAUCCCAUUCUUGUCA